ACGUGGGGUUGGGCGGGGCCGGGACCCCGAUAGGUGGCGCCCCGCAAGUGGUAGUGGGGUGCAGACAUAGGACCCUAUGUGUUGGGUGUGGCCGAAGGGGCCCGGCGCUGUUCGGAGACCGGGUUAGGGAUUCCUGGAGGAGAGAACGUUUGAGGCAGCUGAGGGGCUGGAGAACCAGGUUUCUCAUGAGAUUUCUCGUUAUUUGUGAUAUAGUUUGUUAGAGUUGGGCGUGACCUCCUCUGGUAUCCUAUCCGGAGGAAGGCUGAAGUGUGGGCUCCAGCAGUGACACUAAAUGGAUUUACCUCCUUCCCCGGCCCGCCUUUCCCUCUAGUUACUAGAGUCUAGUAGAAGCCUUUCUUUGCACCACUGUAUUGAGAGUGGGUACCUGAGAAAUCCCACUGGAGGCUGACACCAAAUCACCAAAAUGCUGGUGUUAGUCGAAGCACGAGCUCAGCUUACUCGUGGCCUGCUUUCAUCCAACCCCUCCACAACCCCCGAACGUACUGUACUCUUUCAUCAGAACAACACACGCCAGGGCAUUGAAGCUCCUUGGGAAACACUGCCUUUUCAAUGUCUCGCAUCCUGAGACAGGUUUUGCUUAGCAGGACCAUUUAGCUAGAUCAGAAGGCUUAGCUGCUUUCCCAGGGUUACCUAAGGCCUGUUAUGUACAAGGGGAUGUUCAGGACCUUACGGAACCAGGGAGGAUUAAAGAGUAACUACUUGAUCAUACAAAGUCAAAACGCCAAUUUGUAGUAAACUAUCCGGGCCACAGACAGCUGGGGAUCUCUGGGAUCCUCUCUUGUCUUUGCUUCUCUGGAAGUUGCAUAGUGACCAGCACAUAGUAACUUCCUAACAAUUGUGUUGGAGUGAAUGAUGGACGAGCAUGCCGCUUGUCUACAGUUCUGAUGGGAACUGCCACCACAGAUGCGCAGCACAUUUCAUUCCGUGUACCUGCCAUGUGUGUGUUAUUGUGAUCUCAGGUGUCAAAGAGGAAGAAUGUUAGCAGAUACAUUUUUUUUUAAACUGUGCAUCUUCUCACAUCUUUCAGAGCCAGGAGCUUCUUUUAGCCCCCCCCCCCCCCAUGAUCAUUGAGCAUUUCCUGGAUCUGGUAGUCAAGUGCACUCCUCUAACAGGCCACAGGAGCCUGCUGGGGUUAGUAUUUAGUUAGGACAGAUGUGAUGAGUAACUUAAAAAUUGCUGGAGAUCUAAAAGCAGCCUUCGCCCUUGCCUUAGCUUUCCUGACACUUGGGUUCACUUUAUAGUGAACAAAAAAGCAAUUUUCUUCUUUUGAUGACAUGGCUCAUUUUAUGAUGUUCCUGCAGACCUCAAUCACUGGUCCUUUUUAUGCAGCAAACACUUCCUGGUGGCUUGGCAGGAGCCAAGUAUUGUGCUAGGGACUGGAGAUUCAGAGUUGAGCAAAAAAAGCACAUGGUUCCCUUGAGAAAGCAAAUCUGGUACCAAGUUGUUACAGUCAAUUGUGCCGCUGCUUUAAUAGGCACAUAUACCCAGCUGCUUUAAUAGGAACAUAUACCCAGUGCCAUGGGAGGCCAGACGGGAGAGCCACUGGGAUUAAUAGAUGGCACUACCGAAACAAUGACAAUAGAAUUAGAUCCUGAAGGACUGAUGGGGGCUAGCCGAGAAGAAGAGUGAAGGGUGAGAAAGAAACCAGUGUGUCAAAAGGCAUAGAGAUGUGACAGAACUUGGGCACAUCAGGGGCAAAACAGCUGGUAAUCCAAGUGUUUCUCAGUGUUAUGUGUGGACAAUGGGCUUCCAAUCUCUGUCCCCAAACCAGUUGUGGAUACAGAAGUUGAUCUUCAGAGGAGGCUGAUGAAAGCAAGUUCACAAUUUGAGGGGGAGAAAUGACUCUGUAUCAAUGUGGAGAUUAGAAAUAGGCAAGAUUUCAAGGUCUGUGGUGACAGAUGAUUUGGCCUUGAGUCAGGGUAGAGCGAUGGGGCUUCGGAAACCUGGCUGCAUCUGAGAGUCCUUAGGAGGUAAAUUUGAUUUACUCAGUGAUUGAUUAGUGUCAGAAGAAGGUCUGGGACACCUGUUGGGUUUUCCAGCUUUGACAAUCAAACACGUGACCAGAAGACAGAGGAAGGAGUGUGUUGGGGUUGUGAGUCAAACCAUGUUGAGUUGGAGGUGCUCGAGAAGAGCCUCUUUCGGGGAGGGGCCCAGAGUUUGAGUUCCAGUGGUUAUUAUCUUCUAGGAAAUAGACUGAAAGGAAAACGUACAGCUGGAGAAUCUGGUUAUCUUUCUCAUUUGAAUAAUUUGUCAGUCUGCGGUUGUGUGGAUAAAUAUCUCCAUUGUCUUCUGGUAGUACGAGCCAAGCUAUCAUAAAUGGGAAGGACAUGUUAGCUGUCUUCAACUUGUAGAAAAAUUGUGUAAGGGAGAAUAUUAUUUUGUUUUCAAAACUUAAAAUAAGACGUUGUUGUAUCUAGUAGAGUGUCAAUAAAAUAUAUUAUCUAUAGACUUUGAUCCAUGACUCUCUUGAAGCAGUCACCCAUGACCUUGGUGAGUCUCCAGAAUCAUGAAUGUCAUCAUGACAUACAAUUUCAAUCAUAAAAUACUGUAAGCUGUAGCCAUAAAAUGUAAGGAGUCCUUUCAGACUCUUAAUGGUUCCAUAAAUAUGGGAUUAUGAUCUUUUCUAAAGGUAUUUAAAUAAAAUUUGCCAUUUCAAAAAAACUUAUAUCAUUACAUUGUAUCGUUACCUCAUCAAUUGCACCAUUACCUGAGUCUGCAAGAAAAAAAGACGAAUCAGUGUGAGACUUACUGUGUAAAUGUCAAUAGGAGAGUAUAGCUAAUCUGUAUGGGGACACAAAUGCCAGGUGUUGAAUGUGGUCCACACACUGGAUAUGUGGCUGGCAAGGACUCGCUAGCCUCCUGGAAGCUCAUUCAAAUUUACAUCUCCGUAAAUUACUUCAUGACAUGAACCUUUCAGGUCACUUGUUGGGGACUGUUAGUCUUCCCAGCUGCUGGUUGUCACAUGCCAGCGCACCUGUGUGUGUAGUGCAGAUGACGUGCUUACAAGUUCAACGGUGUCUCUGUGAGGUUCUUCCGUUUCUCUUUCCCCCUUUUUCUGGUGUUGGGGAUCUUCCCUAGACUGCCGAAUUCUAGGCAAGUGCCCUCCCUGCUCCUGCGCUACAUCUCGGCCCUCUUAGGUUUCCCCUUCCAUCUUUUCACAUGAGUCCCCCUUACAACUUGCAGCACCACACACCUGCCUUUGCUAGCUGCCUUCAUGCUGUUCACAGUGUUUGCUCACACUAAUCUCCUGAAGUAGGCAGUUUCCUCUUCAGGAGAACGUGCCAUCAUACUCUGCCACUCAUUCAGUGUCUAGAAUUCAAUAAGCAUUUACAAACUAAAUCUGUUCUUGGAAAUAUGAUGAAACCUCAUUUCCCAUCCCUCCCCUACAAACCCUGCAAGCUGUCCUAUUACCUACAGUAAGGAUGCAUUUGGAUCCUGAUUCUUUCUCGCCCCACUGGGUUUUCAGCAUGCUUGCCUGAUGUUAAUUGAUGCCCUUUAUCUUUGAGCACUGUACAUUGUCUGAAGGAUUAUCAGCUCUGGGUACCAAAAACUGGAAAAACUCCAAUGACAAGACCUUGACAACAAUCAUUCCUUAUGCACAACUUCAUUGUAGCUUAUUCUCGGGGUGCGGCACACAAAUGCUUCUUUGUACUCCAAGCUUUUGAUGUUCCUGGGUAGGACAGAGGUCCUCAGUUCCCUAUCUGGGGCCCUCCAGCAUGCUCUGAGGGAUUCCAACUUAGGUUCUUCAGCUGCAGUGACCCUGUGCUCUGACUUCCCAAGAGGGAGAUCUCUGACUUGACUUUGCCUGUUGAUUGAGUCAUUACUCAUUGUCAAGCAUGCCUUUUAGAAAUUAUGGGUCACAGAGGCCUAUCUUCUCAUUGACCUUAGCAAGAAUUUCCAGAAACUGAAGAACAGACUACCAAACGUUGAGCCUCCAAAACUAUUAAAAAUGGAGAUGGAUUCCAAUCUGGCUGAGAUGGCCUGAAGACAAGCGUACAGAAGGAGAGGUACAGUUCCUUUUUGGUUUAUUACUUUGUGGGAUGUGACUUUAGGGCCAGGGUGACCAGAUUUUCUUCCAGGCGGGGUAAGAAGCUCAGCAUGGAUUGUCCCACGACCAUAGACUUGGGCUUUUGCUAAGUCUUUUAGCCUGAGAUACAGGGCUGCUUAAAUAGUCUGACAGCUCUGCGUUAUGCUAGGCUCUGGAAAGCUCAUGGAAACGUGCUCUGGCAUCUCCCUGUGCUAUCAAAUGUAGUGGUAUUUUGUUCUCCAAAAUAUUGUGUACCCUAAUAAACUUAUCUGGGGUCAGAGGACAGAAAAGCCACUAGAUACUUAGGAUAGGCAGUGGUAGCACAUGCCUUUAAUCCUAGCAUUCCAGAGGCAGAAAUCCAUCUGUUCAAGGAUACAGCCAAGCAUGGUGACUCACGCCUUUAAUCCCAGAAAGCCAGCCUUUAAUCCCAGGGAGUGAUGGUAGAAAGCAGAAAGAUAUGUAAAGCGUGAGGACCAGAAACUAGAAGCAUUUGGCUGGUUAAGCUUUUAGGUUUUGAGCAGCACAGUUCAGCUGAGAGCCAUUCGGAUAUGAGGACACAGAGGUUUCCAGUCUGAGAAAACAAGAUCAGCUAAGGAACUGGCAAGGUGAGAUAGCUGUGGCUUGUUCUGCAUCUGAUCUACCAGCAUUCACCCCAAUAACUAGCCUCAGGUUUGAUUUAUUAAUAAUAACUUUUAAGAUUCCUGCUACAAUCAAAGGUCCUGUUUCUGACACACUUAAAACCAUUUUCUUGGUUCUUAUGAGUACAGCAACAUUAUUUUCUUCCUCCAAGCCCAGGAUCUCACUUCUUGUUGACCUCGAUAUUAUUUCCUUCCUCCAAGCCCAGGACUACCCCCCCCACCCCCCGCCCCUGGUGAUUUCCCUCAGCUUCUGACCGUUUCCUAAGGGAUUCUCCUGGAGUCCCUUAGGACUUUCACCCACAAUAUUGGAUUUGACUGUUAUUGUCACAGGUGUCUUCUAUGCUUGUCCCUCCCGCUAGACAUUUCUUCUCAAUUCAAGGCAAGUGUUCCAAUCUACCUGUUAGAUGUUUCUUUGAGUGUUCUGACAUCCCUGCUGUGUCAAUGAAGUGGUAUUCUCUUCCAGCCAGCCAGUGUCUCCUCUGACAACUGUUUCUGGCUAGAGUUCCCAGUGUUUCCUCACGAUCAAAGCUCUAAACCAAAGCUCUAGAUUCUCCCUUCUCCUUACCCCCACUAGUUUCUAGCACACCAGACUUCUGUCAGGGACAAACAAGACACAGGUUGAUUGGGGUCCCAUCACAGGGCUUUGAGGACCCACUCUGCCUUUCUAGCCUUCUGUCUCUUUGCUUUCCACCCACCCUAGCUGUCAACUCAAGUAGACGACUCACCUUUCCUGCAAGAGCCUUUUGCUCCAUUUUGGCUAGGUCCUGUCCUUUGACUGUAUGUUCCGAUCCUACCCCGUGAAGAUUGCUGGACUGAAUAUGUUGGGCAAUGUGAGGUGCGGACAAGUGGAAAACCCCCAAUCCCUGCCUGUAGGAAUGUCAAGAGUGAUCAGGUCACCACAGAGAGGAGGCCUCCCCACAAGAGCUCCUCCAUUUUUUGGUUUCAUUUCCAAACUCGAAGGGGUAACCUCUAAACUGGUUUUACAGAUGUGGCCCCGGUGGGAUUACCACUUGCAAACAGACCCAGGUUUGUAGACCACCCCUGUAGGAGGCAGACACCUUCUUAAACGUCCCUUUGGCUCUUCACAUUCCCCACCCUCACCACCACACUCCUCUUCCUGCACCAUUAGGUUUUUCAGCCAAACACUGACUAACUGCGGACAAAAAUAUGCAUCGCCAUGAUUGCUCUUUAUAGCUCAGGUGGUGAGAUUUAGCUUUAGGAUUUUCCAGCUCAGUGCUCAGUGAGGACACCUCUGUAUCUGCUCCCCGUUAGCAGAGAAGAUAGGAGGCCACCCACUCCUCUGAGACUUAGCCAUGGCCAGGGCAAUCUCAGUUUCAGGCUGAACCUGACCUAGAGCAUCACAGACUCAGUGUUCAUUUGAGUCUCUGGUCCUGGCCACAGUCUCCAUCCCUGUCUCACCCUUACAGCUAGGAGCGGGCUUCUUUCUGACUCUUCCGAGCCAUGUAGUUGGUUUUCCCACAUUUCUCUUGCUCCAGUGGCCCCAAACCAUUAUGUGUGUGUGUGAAACUGGACAUUUGUUCAUACAUACACAUGAGUGUGCAGGCGCGUGUACGUUUGUACAAGUGGAUACCAGAGGUCAUUUUGAGAUGUCUUCCUCAAUUUCUCUCUGCCUUGUUUUUGAGACAGGAUCUCUCACUGAAUGUGGAACUCACUGGUGUGCCUAGACCAGCUGAAUAGCAAGCUUCAGAGAUCUGCCUCUGUCUCUAUAGUGCUGAGAUUACUGGUAUGUGCGGAUAUGCCCAGCUUUUUCCAUGGGUGCCGGGGAUCGGAAGGAAAGGGCUUCACGAUCGCACACUUUACAUGCUCAGGCACUUUACCAGCUGGGCCAUCUCCAGCCACCCUAAACUAUUUUUUAUACUGUAACUUACAAGGAUCUUUUUAAAAAAUUCAAUAAGAUUACACCAUUUAUUUUGAAAAAAAUCCACAAAUACAUUUCAAUGAUUUUGUACUGCUUUGGGGACCUCAGAGAGCCGUGACUAUGAUGAGAUCCUUCAUGAUGUGGCUCCUGGCUGCCUUUCUGCCUCACCAGGCACCAUCUUCUGUCUUAUCUGUUCCAUCUGGACAUUUUCCUUCUUCCAUGUCAUUGACUGAGUCAAGCUGCUUCCUUCCUCGAGGCCUUUAUGAAGGCUCCUUUUCCUGAUGGAUCGUCCUUCUUUCUUGUUCUUUCCAGUCUCUGACCUCCAGCCUCUACCCUUCACUUAAAGCUCAGCACACAAAUGCCACGCCCAUUUCAAUUUCCCAGACCCAGCUGGGAAUCACUAUUGUGAGCUCCUGAAGUUCCCAUGCCUCUUCCUCAUCUCAGUAUCCUAUGAGUAGUUAAUUUGUUUGAUUAUUUAAUUAUUGUCUUUCUUGCAAGGUUAUAAGCUCUGUGAUAACAGGAACUACUCUUGCUUCUCUAGCCUUCAAAACAAUGAUGGGCACAUAGUAGCCAUUCACGAAUAUUUCUUAAAUAACUGAAUGAGUUGAGACCUUGCUUUGGCAAUCCACUGAGCAUCCCACACCUUCUAGAGAUGUGACCCCCAUCUCACUUUUGACAUUCUUCCCACCAUCAGGAUGGAUAAAAGAUCUCUGCGUUUCCCCUUGAUCAUAGGACCCUUCUCCCUACCCUCAGACUUGGCAAACACUGCCCCUUUGUUUUCAUUUGUGGGUCCCAGGUCCCACACUCCUGGGCUGCCCUACCCAAACUGUGCCGAGGACAAGUGUCUGACCUGUAAGGUGAUCUGUAGGACCUCUUGGCCUUGCUUGCUUAGACAAUGCAGCACUGGCUGAGGUGGUCCACACCUGUAAUCCCAGCUCUUGGGACUACAGCACAAGGGGAUUGCCGCCAGUGUGAGGACAACCUAGGCUAUAUCAUGAGACUCUGUCAGAAAAAAAAAAAAAUCCAACCUGGACCUCAGUCUAGGCUAAGUAAACACAACACAAAGGCAGCAAUCUUUGUGAACCUUUACCAUUGAUAUAUGCAAUUUUAUUUUAUUAUUGCUCCAAACUAUUGUUUCAAGAACAGAAAGAAAAUCCAAAUCACAUUAUAAUAAAGGAAAUGAGCAGUACAGAAAAAAAAAAUAAUACAGAAGGGAAAGAGAAAGCCCGAGACUCUCUUUAAAUUAAGUAUUGUAUUUACUGGAAUAGAAACUAAUUUUGUCUGAAUCGGUUCAAUAAGUAUCAUCCACAGUGGAGGCAAAAUAACAUUAGUGUUCACACUUCCUGGGGAAAGUGAGGACAGCGCUCAGGAUCCUGUCCUCUCACGAGGCACACUCGGAGCAGGUCACACUUCGCAACUCUGUUUCACAGGCCUCCCAUGGAGCUGGAUGGAGAAAUCCAUGCUGUUUCCCUAAAAUGUUUGAAACACAAUUGAUUGUAUCUUAAAAUAGGACCACAACCCAGCACUGGAAACACUCAUGGAAAAAUGGUAUCUCAGAGGCUUUGUGUCUCUCAGUUAACAAAGAAUCAACAGUGACAGAACUCUUUGGAAGCCUCAGUUUCUCUGUUUGCAUUCAUAAUUAAAAAUAGCUAUCUUCGUGGCUGCCUCUGGAUUUCCCCUGCUCUUGUCGUGGGAAAUGCCUUGGCAGCUGCUUGGUAACCCGCAGAGGGUCCCAGCUCCUCCAGAGGUGGUGUCCCUUCUCACCCACAACACACCCUCAUGACUGUUGCUGCAAAGAAUUUCAGACCCAGUUUUGUUUUAGUUUCUUUAAGCUGCUCCUAAGUGUUCCCUGAGAAAUGGACAUGAAUUAGAGAGUGGGAAGAGAACAGAGCAAGGAGAAGAUGAGGGAGAAGUCAGAGAAUGGACUGGGACUCUCUCUGUUAGUCAGCUCUUUGGUACCCUAGUGAAUACAAUGGACGGGGACUCUCUCUGUUAGUCAGCUCUCUGGUACCCUAGUGAAAACAAUGGACGGGGACUCUCUCUGUUAGUCAGUUCUCUGGUACUAUAGCAAAUACCCAGGGUCAUCAAUUUACAAAAAAAAAAGAGGUUUGCUUUGAAUCAGAAUUGGUUAGUUUGUUGUGCUUUUGGUUUGUGGCAAAGCAGCAUGUCAUAGCAGGAAUGUAUCUUGGAGCAAAAUAAGGGACUCAGGAUUUUGGCCUUUGGAGGGGUAGUUAAGAUCCAAAUAUAGCUUCUCCCAACAUGAAUAGGGAAGCCCAGGAAGUCCUUGCAAGGAAGUCCUGAGGCUCAGUUUUAAGAUGUUUGUGUAUACACAAACACACACACACACACACACACACACACACACACACACACACACACACACACACAGGAGCUACUCUGUUUCUCCAAAUUUGAACCCAUCUUUCUUACACUAAGAAGUGUUUUCCCCCAUCUUUAUCUUCCUCCUGCCCUCUAGCUUAAAGAAUAAGAUUGAGUUCAUGUCUGAAUCGAUUUCAAUUCUAGGAUAAAGAUAUGGGAACAAUUAUGACUGACAUUGGAGUUCAAGUGUUGAGAAGUGACAUGAAGACAGAUUCAGAGAAGAAUUCAGAGAAUUGAAGUUCCCUAACAGCGACAGGAAUCCUGCAAAGGGGAAUGGGUUUUCUGAGGAGUGCUUGAACCAACCCAAUUCAUUCUCAAGGAGAAGGGAGACACACAGAAUUGGGGGAAUACAAUGCACAGCACAAAAGCAGAAUUCUUCGUGAGCGCUUCCUUCUGGAGUAAGGACCUUCACCGCCACUGGCAACUGCUACUGCUUGGGGAGAAGUUCUUUAUGUGGUGUCUUUACAUGUGACACACGUGGAAGGCUUUAUAAGUGCCACAUAUCACUGCUUUAAGGGGCUUAAUGCACUGUCUGCUGUGCCCCCAGACUUGGGUGCAAGUGCUUGUCAACCUGAUCCAGCUGAAAUCACCCAAACACAAGCUGCUGGGAACUCCGGAGAGAGAUCUUUUUAAACUAGGUUAUCUGAAGCAGGAAGACCACACUGAAGGUGGGAGGUACCUUCUACUACCUUUCUAGAUAGAAAGACAGGCAUGAAUGAAGGAAGCUUUGCUCUUGGCCUUCUGUUUUCUGUCUACUGGCCCUCCCCCUCACUGGCCAAUUCACCUGUCCCGUUGCUGUGGAACUCGUUCACCAAUACUAGAACCCCCUUUUUUUUUUUGGCGGCGGCGGCGGGGGAGGGGGCUGCUAAAAUAAACUGAAGCCCAGCGGCUCUCCAGGAACCUUCCAGGCCUUUUGUGCCAGAUUAGGACUGAAGCACCCAGCUUCAUGGACUGAGCAGUUGAUUACUGGUCUUUCUAGCCUGAGACAGCCAUUGUUGGACUACGAAGACCGUAUCUUUGGACUUCAGCAUCCAUAGAUGUUGGUGUUUGUGGGAUUUCCUGGAACCAAUUCACUGUGGAGAUCAUGGAGCAACUGUAUUCAGUCAUCUGUACAAGAGAAGUCCUUUGUUGAUCUCCACAGAUCUCUCACUGAGCAGGCCUUUGAGGAACAUUCUGGACACAAACUCUACCGUCUGUUCUCUCUGAUAGUUGGCUCAGUGAAAUCUAGCUGCUUUGGGCUUCCCAACCACACAGUUCCGUCUCUUCAGUUCAGUAGCCAGAACAUUCUGCUCUGCAGAACCGAGAACCUGACAGAUACAGCUUUGAACAGUUAGUUAAGGGCUAAUGCUUCCUGUGGCUGUUGCCUGCGAAUCGAACUCAUUUCUACUCUGACGGAAGCUCACACAUCUGUGGUCAGCUGCAAAGAGGGCUGAGGGCUGGCUAAACUUAGCUGGCUCAGCUGAGAUGGCUCAUUUCAAUUCCGCGUGGUGAUUCAUCUUUCAGAAAAUAAGUUUGAACUUGAUCAUGCUUACAUAUAACCAUGAAGAGCUCCAGGGAUUGUGAUGGUGAACUUCACGUUGUCAACUCGAUUGGAUCACAGGAUGUCCAGGCAUGUCUGGACCCACGAGUGAUGAAAGACAGAAGCUUCUUCAAAGGGCUUGAAGGAUGCUGAGAUGUUACCAAGUUACUGGUUGUCUAGAAGUAGGAUGACAUCCUCAGGAAGAAGUCUGAUGAGGCGGCUCUCUGGAAUCCCAAUCCUCGGGCCCAGACCUUUAUCAUAUCUUGGAACAUGAAGUCAGUGGGAAAAGCAAUGUCCAGUUCAAAGGGGACACACACACGGCUGCACAUGGAGGCAUCCUGGAUUCCUACUUUCCUGGAUUACCUAUCUACUUCCCAGAUGCUCUUAUGCUGCCAACAGUCCAUACAAAAGCCAUGUUAAAUUAUCCUCUGAUCCAAAUGAGGACAGAGGCUGUAAAGCAGGAAGUCACCCUGGAGACCACAUGGUUCCACAGAAGGACAAACUUUGGACUAGAAAACCAAGAGACUUGUUCAAAGAGUGACAACCAGGACCAGACCCACAUCUCCAAAGGGAAGAUGCAGCUAAGCAAAAACAAAGGGAGAGAGUCUGCUGCCUGGUAAGGAUCUAUCCAACCAGCACUCCUUUCUCAAUUCUGAUCUCCGCACUCUAGCCUUCCAUACAAGGAUGUAAGGGAUGGGGAAAGACCCAGUGAAUGAUCCACUUCUCCAGGGUAAUCAAUGGGUCGUGUAAGGAGUCCGUGUGCCCAUGCAAGCAUUCAUCGCUGAGAACAGUACCUCAGGAAUGGGAGCCAGAUUUCCUCACAUGGGUGGAGCUGCAUGUAUGCAUCAAGAUGAACAUGCUGGGAGCCACAGCAGGAAAACAAGGAAUUCUUCCCGGAAGACACACUGACAUUUAGGGAUUCCUCAGUGAAUAGCUUGCCUCGCCCCACAUUUACUGUGAAGCUCGGCAGUUGAGAACCAUUGCUGCAAAGAAAUUGAAGAGGAACACAUCUGAAGUACUGGAUUUUAUUUGAGGGAAGGUUAAAAAAAAAAAAAAAAAACAGUUAGAGCCAGAAACAACAAAGAAAUAACAUCCAAGAGAAAACUAAUAGUUCUUCAGAGAACAGAAAAACUUAACAACAUAAAAUUCACAUUAUAUCCUUACAGACAUAAGAAGAAAAUACUAGUCAGAUGCAAUAUACUGUGAAAAAGCAAAAUAAAACAAUAGCAACCACAAAAACCCAGAAAAGCAGUGAGUUCCUGGAAUUAAAAGCAUAAUAAAUAUUUAAGUUAACAGAGAAGUUGUUGGAAACAUAUUAGAAUUACCUAUUUAUUAUUCAAUUUAUCCAUUUAAUUUGCAUCCUGACCACAGUUUCCCCUCCCUCCUCUCCUCCCAUUCCCUUCCCCCACCUCCUCUCAGCCCCCUCCCAAUCCACUCCUCCUCUGUUUCUGGUCAGAAAGGGACAGGCCUCCCAUGGGUAUCAACAAAGCAUGGUAUAUCAAGUUGCAGCAGGACUAAGCUCCCCCCUUGUAUUAAGGCUGGGCCAGGCAACCCAGUAUGAGAAACAGGUUCCCCAAAGCCAGCCAAAGCAUUAGGGACAGCCCCUGCUAUCACUGCUGGGAGUGCCACAAGUAGACCAAGCUACACAACUGUCACACAUAUGCAGAAGGCCCAGGUUGGUCGGAAGCAGGCUUCUUAGCUGUCAGUUCAGACUCUGUGAGCUCCUAUGAGCCCAAGUUAGUUGAUUCUGUGGGUUCCUUUGUGAUGUCCUUAACCACCUUGACUCAUACAAUCCUUCUUCCCUCUCUUCAUCAGGAUUCCCUUAGCUCAACCCAGUGGUUGGCUGAGGGUCCCUCUGCAUCUGUUUCCAUCAGUUACUGGAUGAGGCUCUCUGAUGACAAUUGGGGUAGUCACCAAUUUAUGAGUAUAGCAGAAUAUUGUUAGGCAUUAUUAUACCAGGACCCAGACACUGAAUGGCCCAGAGACCUAGGAUAGAACCAAACACAAUUGGAGAAAAAAAAAAGUCAAUGUAAUGACGCAUAUUAGAAUUUUUUAAACAGUUUUUUAAUAGUAAUUAUAGGAAUAUGUGUGUAUGUGUGUGUGUGUGUGUGUGUGUGUGUGUGUGUGUGUGUGUGUAUGCAUGUGAAUGUAUGUGCAUGUGAGUGCAGUGCCCACAGAGGCCAGAAGAGGGCGUUGGAUCUCCUGGAGCUGGAGUUACAGGCAGUAAUGAGGUGCCACAUGUGAAUGCUGGGAAGGGAAUUCCAUUCUUCUGCAAGAGCAGUAUGCACUCUUAGCCACAAAAUAAACACUUAAAAAAUUUCAGAAGAGACAGCAGAAGAGCAGGUCUAAACAAAUGCCAUAAGAAAAAGAAUAAUAAUGAAAAGAAAGAAGAUAGGAGAAAAAUCAGUAAUUACCACAUCAUCCAAAGAAGAGUAUUCAUAUUUGGUGUAGGUUUUAAAGUUCAGUAUAUUUGCUGUUCAGAUUUUACACAUAGCUUUUGCUCCUGUAUAUUUCUUGAUUGAUUACCAUGAAAUAACAUUUCCCAUGUUGUUUAUAAUUUUUAUUUUUAUUUUAUGUGCCUGAGUAUUGUGCUUGCCCAUGUGUCUGUGUACCAUGUGAGUGCCUGGUACUCACAGAGGCUGGAGGAGGGAGUUGCGGGUAGUUGUAAAUGAUCACGUGGAUGCUGGGAAUCAAGCCUGAGUCCUUUAGAAGAAUAGCCACCUCACCAUCUCUCUUCCCAGGUUAUUAUAUCAUAAUAUCAAAAUUAAAAGUAUUUUUAAGCGUCUGCAUGAUCACCCAUGGGGGGGGGGGGGCAUGUUCUAAUAACUUUUACCAUUGUCUUUGUGGUGCUCUGUUUCCAGCACUACUCAGGAUUAGCCCUCAACUCUCAAAUGGACAAUUACAAUUCUUCAUCCUCUACUUCAGCCAUGAGGUUAGGGGACAGGUAUGGGGAUGGGCUGAGGGCUGCUGUUUAUUAGACCCUCUGUCCUUUGGCCACUGAGCUGAGACAGACUUAAGCAUGGCUCAUCAGAAAACUCCCCUGGAGGGAACUGGGUGAAGUCAGAAUGUGAGCCUGGAGCUUCCAUGUAAGCCUGGGCUCACAGAACAGUCAGUCAGAGAACUUCAGGCAUAGGGAAAUGGAGAAGAGAGAAGAAGAGAGACCCAGUGACUAGAAGAGAGGGGACAGAGAUGAAAGGAAUGAAUGAACCAGGCAGUCUUUACACCCUUAAGUAAAGCUCUGGAAGCUGACCUUACUCUAUCCUUUUAUGGAAUCCGUCACAUCAGCCAAUGUGUCCUCCAGUCCUCACAUGCCCACAUAACAUGACUGUCUUUUUAUUAUGUAUAAAUUAUUAAGCCUUCCCUAAUGUAACUUCUGAAAUGGAUGCUAAUAUUCAAGUUGUUUAGAGCAGAUAGUUAAUAAACACGGUUAAAGUGAACUGACCUAAGUGAACUUCCCCAGAGGAAGAUAAUAUAGUACGGGCUUUCGAAACUGGCUGACAGGUUUGAAUUAUGAAUCUUUAAGAUAUCUGACAAUUUACUUCUUAUGUUAGGGCCUUGAUGGUUUCUUCAUUUUCAUCCUCAUUAACAUUAUAACCUCUAGCAUUUGGAGAGCUCAUGUGUGAGGCAUGUAGUAACCUCUGGUUUGCAGUUUGGGGUAAAUUAAUCCGAAGAGCAGAUUGUUUUCAUGACAUUGUUAUGAUCUGUAAAAUGAGAAUUAAUUGAAACAACCAAUAUGAAGCAUCAAGUCCAAACAACGUUUUUCUCCUCUUCCCCUCUUUUCUUCUGGACGUAAACUCUUCCCGCUUGGCCAGGAUUCAGAACUAUGGUCCCUUGACUUUUGUACAGGUGAAUCUAUUUCCUGUUUGUCAUUCUAACCUGUUAUCCUUUAUCUCCUGGCCUUUGUACCUGAAAUUGGUGUGGGAUGAGAUCAAGAAAGACACCAACAACCAAUAUUGGAACCCAACAGAUGGAAAGGUUUGUCAUGUUUUACUUAGGAAGACUGAAAGUCACAAAGAGGUCAAUUCUCUUUAGUUUGUAAAUUUAACCUAAUUCUCAUAAUGAUCUCAGUAAGACUGUCUUCUCUUGUCCAGACUGAGAAAGCUGGUUCUGAAGUUCACAUGGAAACAUAGACAAGCUGAAAUAACCAGGAAAUCUCUGAGAACAAACAGCAGAGAAGAUGAAUAAAGUCCCUCUAAAUAGCAACACCGUUACCCAACCUCAGUAAUUGAAACUGGGAUACUGGUAUCUGAACGGAUAAACAGACCAUAGAAAGACUGGGAAAAGAACUAGCUAAUAAAUGAUUUUGUAGAUUAAGUGGUAAGAGUAGUAUCAAAAUCCAAUUAGACAGCACUCCAUUGGUUCUGGACACAGGAGGAAGCACCACAAAGCAGCCUGGAAUCCUAUGAAGGGAUAACUGUUAAUAUUGAUUACAACUAUACACGCAUCUGUCAGUCUCCUGGAAUCUCAUCUGGAGAUUAAAAUACACAUAUGCAAAAAUGUUAGGGUUGCAAAAGUUAUUCAUGUUAGCCAAUGUAUAGUGUCCAUCGAUGGGGGCCUUGGAUAAGCUGCACUUUAGAAUGCUAUUUAGUCAAUGACACACACAGCGGGGUAGCUCAGUCGGUAAAGUGCUUGCCGCCAAAGCAGAAGCACCCGAGUUCAAUCUCCAGAAUCCACGUGGAAAAGCCAGGUGUGGUGGUGGCCUGUGCUCGUUACCCAAGCAUGGAGAAGCAGAGAUGGGGAGAUCCCUGAGGUUUGCUUGCCAGCUAGUCUAGUCUCUCUGGAGAGUUCCAGGCCAAUGAGAGUUCUUCAAACAGAGAAAGAAAGAAAGAAAGAAAGAAAGAAAGAGAGAGAGAGAGAGAGAGAGAGAGAGAGAGAGAGAGGGAGGGAGGAAAGAAGGAAGGAAGGAAGAAAACAGAGGGCAAAGCCUCCUAUGGACAUGCCCUCCAGCCUUCACAUGUACAUGUACACACAUGCACACACAUGCAUGCAAUCAUGUGAACAGGUACACACACACACACACACACACACACACACACACACACACACACACACACACACACACACACACGCCUGCCAGGCAUAGUGGUGCAUGCCUGUAACCCCAGUACUAGAGAUGUUGAGGCAGGAGGAUCAAGGCCAGAGUCUCAGCUGCAUAGUUAGGUCAAAGCCAGCCUGUGUGACACAAAAUCCUGUUUCAGAAACAAAAAUCAAAUAAGCAAAAAAACCAGGUGCUGAAACUUCAAAUGCAGUGUAACCUGCUUGUACAGCGAAGGCCAGUUUUGAAUAUAUUUGUAUUUGCUGUUAUCUGUGUAAAGAAAGAUUGCAGACUUAUGUUAGAGUGGUGACCUAUGAGGGAGGGGAGUCUAUUAAUGGAGAUGAAAGACAAAAGCAAAACUCAUCCACGUAUGCCUUCAAAUGUCAGUUUUGUUAUUUUUAUCAUAGGUUUAUGUUACUCACUCAAAUAAAACAGCAAGGGUUAAAAAUUAUGGUGAGUGCGCACCGUGUGUAAGAAAUGUACUAAGCUUGUAAAUGCAUCAUCUCAUUUAAUCCCCACAAGAGUCCUACGAGGUUUUGUUUUAAUCUCCAUUUCAUGGAUGAGAAAAAGUUACUUAGCUCGCUUAAGUGAUCUGUUCACCCCUCUGUCAAUCUAUGCCUCUCAUUUCUUUCAUGCCUGAGAUCAAUUCCAGCUCUCUGCCAGUGUUCAGGAGUUAUUUCCAUCUAACUCUAGCUAGUUAUCUCUUUGACUCUCUUUAGCAAUUAAAUACUUAGUUUGCAGUAUUUUUUAAAAAUGUCGACAUCCUUCAGGCCGUUGACCUGUGCUCACUCACCUCUCUGAUGAGCUGUUAAGAGUCGUGUUGUAUACCGGAAAGGAACUCUCCAUAUUUACCUCUUUGCCUCCAGAGCUGUCAGGCGUACUUACGUACAAAGUAGUUAAUCUCAGGAUAUAAAAUAACAUUUAUGGAGGCCCAUGGAGUUUACACAAUUUCUAAUUAAAUCGAAUCUCUCAAACACUACCAGGUAGGUUUUUUUUUUUUUUAAUUCUCAUUUAAUACCGAAAGAAAUAGGAGUCUGAAAACACUAAGAAAGACUAGCUAAGAGUCUUAACUAGGACCUCUGACUGCAAGACAAGGGUUCUUUUAGUCACAUAACAGAUAUCUCUAGUUGGUCUCCCCUAAACUAUCUGGUUGUACCAUAUGCAUGCCAAGAAAAUGCCUGACUUGAUUAUUCUAGGAAUGAGGACAUGGCAGUAAUUUAUGCUUCGUUUUAGGAAACUGCCAAAUAUUCUACAAAGGGACUGUAACAUCUGACAUUCCCACCAGCAAUGAGUGAGGGCUUUUCAUUAACGGCUGUCACUCUCGUACGCACUGCUGCAACGUAUAUGGUGAGAACGUGGUGGAUAAGGACAUCCAGGUAGAGUUUUAAUCUCAGUUCUCCUGUGACCAGUAAAGCUGAGAAUGUUCAAAACGUGGUCCUCAACUGGAGGCUUGAUAGCAAUCCAGAAUUUCAGGUCUUACCUCAGACCUACAGACUCAGCGUCUGCACCAGACUCUGUCUGAGGUGAUUAGCCCAACUCUAAGCUCCUGUUCACUGGCAAUUCUCUAUGAUUCUGUGACCUAAAAUCUCUCCAUCUCAGAGAAUCAAAGGGGAGUUGUCUCGUCCUCCUCCCUCAGAUCAUCUGGAGCGCCUAUUAAAUUUCUCUCAAACAUGUUUCAGGAUUAUUUUGGUAUGUGGGAUGAGAAGUUGGUCCUAUUUGAAAAGAUCCUUUUGGAACUGAGUAUGAAUAGCCACAAGGAAAGAUGAAGGAUUCUGAAGUCUCCAGUGUGAUGGUCAAUACAUUGCUCCUUGCCAGGAGACUUGUUCUCAGCUUUGUGCUGACAGAGCUAGGCUAUUUUGUUCAGGGAGCUCUGGGCACCUCAGAAGAAUGGAAUCCCAGGCUGCUGUGUAUGCCAGUUCCUAGCUAGCCCAGCUCAAAUUCCUUGGGGAGGGCAUCACCUUUACCUGAUAUGACAUCUCUGUGACCAUCAGUUCGUUGCCUUUUUGUGUUUGAAUUCCAAAGGCUGUUGUGAUGUUGGUCAACUUGAUAGCGUAUACAUUUUUCUUAAAACAUUUCUUGUAUGUUUGCUUUUUGAGUUUUGUUUAUGGUAUGAGAGAUGUUUCAGAUUAUAAAAACAGAGAUCAUUUCCCCAGCAAAAGAGCAAUAGAAAAGUUGUAAAUUAUUGUCUGUAUUUUCCUAAAUCUUUUGUGGCAUUAGGUAUUUCUUCAUUCCUAAACUUUUACAUUAUUUUAAAUAUGUCUGUGAUUUUGCCUAGUUCUGACAGAAGAGAAUUUGUGGGGGAACUGGGGGAGAACUCAGCAGUUCAGAGCACUUGCUGCUCUUAGAGAGGACCAGACUUCAGUUCCUAACACCCACACCGGGCAGCUCACAACCAUAUGUAACUCCAGCUCAAUGGGAUCCUCCACCCACUUCUGGCCUCUGUGGGCACCUCUUCUGGCCUCUGUGGGCACCUGCACAGACAUGGCAGACACACACUCAUACAAAUAAAUAAAAAUUAAUGUUAAAAAAAAAGAGUGUAAGAGCCAGAGUGGAUGGAGGACAUCAGGAGAACAAGGCCCUCUAAAUCAAAUGAGCGAAGCUCAUAUGAGCUCACAGAGAUCAAAGCAGCAUGCACAGGCUGACCUGGGUCUGCACCAGGUCCUCUGGGCUUACCUUAGAGCUCUCAGUUUAGUAUUUUUAUGGAACUCCUGAAUGUGUGAACGAGUGGGUCUCUGAUUCUUGUGUCUAUUCUUGGUCUCUUUUCCUUCUCUUGAUUUGCCUUGUCUGACUUCAAUGUGAUGGAUUUUGUUUUAUCUUAUAUUUUAUUUUGUUAUAUUUUGUUAUCUCUUAGAAGCCUGUUCUUUUCUAGUGAGAGACAGAAAGGGAAUGGAUGUGGGGAGGGGAAGGUGGGGAGGAACUGGGAG